rnacentral:lncRNA from 1 species
CAGUGAAGGCUUUUGUGAAUAACCACAUACCUCCGUGACACUCUUGCGGAUAAUAAUUCACAAUAACACUGGAAUAUAUAUAUUAAUCUUUAAGAUGCCACAGUGCUUUUGGUUUUGUGAUGAAGAACAAGAAGAGUAAGCAGCAGGAGCAGGAGUCGGAAAUGCUCAACAGUAAGAUCCAUGCCACCUAAAGCAAGACUGGGUGUCUACAGCAGCUUUAUGAGACAAAAUAGCGUUUCAUUGCAUCUGGCUCUGAAUAUUUAAUGCUAAUUGUUUUAGCUAAUACUGUUUAUAGAACUGGAACGUAUAGGCCUGGAGUGAACAUUGUGUGCAUCUUUUUAUGGUUCUGACUAAUGAGUAAUUCUUAGAUAUUACAUACAUUUGUUAUGACUAUUUUGAAAAGUAGUUAGAAUGUUUUAUUUGAUACACCCAGUGCUUGUUAUAAUAUUUAUGGUUUUCUAAUUUUAAAGCAGAGCCCCCAUAUAGUUAUUGAAAAUUUGUUUCUGAUGCCCAUCUAUGAAAAAUAAGAGCAGUUUUUCAUUAAAAUAUGCUAAUGGAAGAAGACUAAACAGGAAGCAAAAGCAUGCAUAUGUAUUAAGUGACACAGGCAUAAUUAAAGCAAUAAGUUUUGUUUUUAAUAUUGAAGCUCAUUACAACUGUAUAGAGAGAAUUUAGGGAAAAAAUUAGCAAAGAUUGGUUGCGCAAACAGCUUAUGGCCACAUAUAACUUGCAUAUUCCCUCCUAGUGUACAAAAGAAUUCUAGAAAUGGCAGUCUUGAAAAGUCUUUCACAUGGAGUGUGGGCAGAUCUGAAAACUAGAGACACCAGGAACAUUUCAUCCAUCCAUCCAUCCGUCCAUAUCACAUUGCAGACACAUACCGCAAUUGCUCAUUGUCUACGGAACAUUAACUCUCAUGAAGGAAACAUCAAACGACCAUCCUGGGCUAUUAAAACAAGCAGUCUCACUAAUAAGGGAAGAUUCCCAAUGAUGGUAAUGUACAUUCGUAAUGAAAUUUAAGCAAUAUAAUUAUCAGAUACCUGUGAGGAAAAAGGUGAAGUACCCAUAUACUUUCUCAUUCUUUCUCAGUCCCCCCCUCCCCUCUCUCGCACAAAGAGAGGGAGCUUCUUUUUGGGCUAAUUGAUUCAAGUUACAUUAAGCACCUGAGGUGAUGGCAUUCCAGUGGA